rnacentral:sRNA from 1 species
AGUUAUAAGAUGAACCAAAUGCUAAAUGAAUGCGCUGUAAGGGUAGCAAGUACUUAAUAUAUGGUUCUACAACAAAAUGAAAAUAAAUAUAUUUAACUAUGCUGAAUGUAAUAAGCAUUGGGAGCAGGCCUUACUCCCAAUGGGAUUAUCCUUUGUUGCAGGAAAUUUAUCGGUCCAAGAUAAUCUCUUAACGGUAUUACUUACCCAACUUUCACUCUGAUUUUCCCAACUCAAAAGAGAAAAUGCCCCAUUUUGUAUUGCAACAGUUAAUGGAAUUCAUUAACAUUUUCUCUUUGUCUUUCGUUCUAAUUGUUUGUGCUUGGGGUUUGCUGUUGUUCUGAUGAAAAUCGGAUGAUGAUGGCGACUGUGUCAGUGUGUCGAUGCGUUUUGAAGGUCCGAUAAAAUUACAUGAAUUUUGUUCAACGAAAAACAAAAACAACAAAAAAAGGAAUGUCAUAUCCUUGAAUGACAUAGAUUUUCAUAUUAAUCGAAUUUCAUGCAAGUAAUUUGUCAUCAUCUGUCAAUUUUCCCAUGGUGGAUAGAUGCAAUCAGUCCAUUGAUACUUGGUCCAGCGUAACGUUAUCAAGUCCGUUAUGAAUGCGAUGACAGUGGAGGUGGUGGUGGUGGUAGUGGUCAAUGGUGGGACAUGUGAAUUGGAUGAGAUGAGCAGGAUAAAGGACGGUUAUGGUUAAUGGUUUAUGUGGGAAUGUCAUUGUUGUAUUAAAUUACAAAUUAUACAUAUUGAAAGUAGGCAGCAAGGAUAGUGAGAUGGUGAUGUGGAUGUGUAUGGCGGUGAAAAUGAUUAUAAAUAUAUAAAAAUGUAUAUACACAUGUA